rnacentral:lncRNA from 1 species
UUGGGGCCCGGCUCCUGGCUGCUCCUGCCUGAAGCCACGAAGCGGGGGCAGCGCAGGGCAGGGCCCGGGGGAGCGGCGCCGAGCCCCCCGCCUCUGGCCGGCGCUCAUUAGCGAGCACCCAGCUCUCCCCCUCUUCCUCCGGCUGCGGUGAGCGCGGAGGGGGCUGUGCCUCGCCUCUCCAAAUUUAGCAAGGGCCCGCACGACAGAGGCUUCCUGUCAAUGAAGCCGGUUCCAGCGCCGCCGCUGAAUCAUAGCAGUCGCGAGGCGCCCCGGCCAGCAGGCUCCCCCAUGCUGCGGCCGGAGUGAAGGGCCGGCAAUGCGGGGAGAGACCAGCCCGGUGCCGCGCUGGAGGGAGGCGGACUUGGACUUGGAGGCGCGAUGCACCUUCGUCGGGAAGGACCAGCCCCCCGCCUGGCCCCACCUCCCGCGAGCGCAGGCCUCCCUGGGCUGGGCCCUGGCCUUCCCGCGCAGCCACCCCAGUGAGAGCCCCAGGGGGUGGGCAAGCCCUGCCUGGAGCCGGGCGCGGAGCAGCUGGCGUCGGCGGGCACCCCGGCCUGCCACGACCUCACCGCCAAGCCCACGAAAGAGGAGGAAGAGAGGCGUACAGACGGCCGAGGGCCGGGCAGGGGCACGGGAGGCCGUGCCGUCUGGCCGUGGCCCCCGGUGUCCCACGAUGCGGCUGGAGAAGCGGCUGGUCCCGCGUGCCGAAGAGACGGGGAUGNNNNNNNNNNNCGAGGCGGGGGGGGGGGGCAGACCUCUUCCUCCUGAAGCCUCUCCAGACCCAGCUCAGAAGACACCGGGGCUCGGGGGGAGCACAGGGC